rnacentral:miRNA from 1 species
UGAAAUGUUUAGGACCACUAUG